CAUCGAGGGGUUAUAUUUGGGCAUCAAACAGCGAAAAUUUCAGCUGUAUCGUCAGUCUGGUGGGAAUAAACGAAGGCAUCAACUGAGAAAAAAGAUUGCUCUUGAGAAAAAAGCCUUGGAAGUUGCCAUCAAUGACCAUAAUACUACUGUGGGGGAAGUUGGAAAACUCCCUCCUCCCAAUGAACUCCUGGCUGUGGACAACUACUCCUGGCCAUGGGAAUGUCAUGGUGAUAUGGAGCGAAAAAAAAAUGUUUUUGAUAAGGUAAUGCUGCUGGCUAGACUGAAAGAAGAAGAAGUCAUUGUGGUUCGUGAAGUCAAACAGCACAUGGAGUACAUGAGGAGUGUUGCUGGACUGAUUAAAGAGCUUACCUUUCAGCUCACUGAAGACACCAAUGGCAAAUGCAGUACAGAGGGAUUGAUGGAGAAAGGACAUGAGGGACUACAUUGUGUGCUGAAGAAAAGAUUGUGUGAAGUUGAAGCACAACUGGCCACAGCACGCACAACAUACAAUAGUAUUCUUGGACUGCAAACAUUGUCCUUAGAUGACUUCUCUGAAGAGGAAGACUUGGAGAAUACUUCUUCUACUGAUGAGGAACUGGAAGACUAGUUAUUAGGGACAUGAUGUGUAUCAAACUAAAACAGUGCUGUAAAUAACUUGUUUGUAAAACCUGAGGCAAUUUUACUGCUGUUUACUGCAAAUUCCUCUGAAACUGUAAACAACCAUUAUGUUAGUAUUGUGCAUCCUACAUAGCUUCACUGUAGUUGUGUAGUUUACAUAGCCUAUGUAUUGUUACUCUCUCCACCAGUGUGCUAUUUGUGCUUAUUUUUCCACAUGUUAGUAUAUUAAUUCUCUCUCUCUCUCUCUCUCUCCCCUUCACUCACUCACUCACUCUCACACACACAUACACCUUCUCUAUCUGAAGAUAUACAGUCUUUAUUUUGAACAGGGCAUAGUCUCUUGGUUUUAGAAAGCCUGCUUUAUU